UACGGAGGGUGCAAGCGUUAUCCGGAUUCACUGGGUUUAAAGGGUGCGUAGGUGGGUUGGUAAGUCAGUGGUGAAAUCCCCGAGCUUAACUUGGGAACUGCCAUUGAUACUAUCAGUCUUGAAUACCGUGGAGGUCGGCGGAAUAUGUCAUGUAGCGGUGAAAUGCUUAGAUAUGACAUAGAACACCGAUUGACGAAGGCAGCUUGCUACACGAUCAUUGACACUGAGGCACGAAAGCGUGGGGAUCAAACAGGA
rnacentral:rRNA from 1 species